AGAGUUUGAUUAUGGCUCAGGAUGAACGCUGGCGGCGUGCUUAACACAUGCAAGUCGAACGAAGCAACUAUCUUGCUGCAAGAGAGUUGACUUAGUGGCGGACGGGUGAGUAACGCGUGGGUAACCUGCCUCAUACAGGGGGAUAACAGUUGGAAACGACUGCUAAGACCGCAUAACCCGCUAGUGUCGCAUGACACGGACGGAAAAUAUUUAUAGGUAUGAGAUGGGCCCGCGUCUGAUUAGCUAGUUGGUAAGGUAACGGCUUACCAAGGCGACGAUCAGUAGCCGACUUGAGAGAGUGAUCGGCCACAUUGGGACUGAGACACGGCCCAAACUCCUACGGGAGGCAGCAGUGGGGAAUAUUGGACAAUGGGGGAAACCCUGAUCCAGCCGACGCCGCGUGAGUGAAGAAGUAUUUCGGUAUGUAAAGCUCUAUCAGCAGGGAAGAUAAUGACAGUACCUGACUAAGAAGCCCCGGCUAACUACGUGCCAGCCGCCGC
rnacentral:rRNA from 1 species